rnacentral:rRNA from 1 species
AUGAUAACUACAGUACAACUACAUGCCAAAAAAAUUGUUCCGAAUCGGUUUCUAGACAAAAGAACAGGCCUGAUCCUCAUCGAUGAGUUGAUAAAAUUUUUUGUUGAUACUCAGUCAUUUGAUGAUGAUUUUGUGAGAAGGGCCGUACUGGUUCUCAUGUGUACAGUCUUAGCACCACAAUCCACCAAGUUUGUUCCUUAUCGUUAUUACAAAAUGGUGGAGGACGUGAACGCUAUCAAGUCAUACAAUUGGAACGAUUUCACGUUGGGGGUGUGCGUGGAUGCUAUUAAAAAAACGGUCGAAGAUCUUGAAAAAUUCAAGUGGCCUAUCGGGAACUUGGCUCUUCUUCAGUAUAUAUACUGGGAAAAAGUUGAGCCAAUUGGUGUGGAUACAUUUGAUCCUUUGUCUCGUGAAUACCCACUAAUGAUUAACUGGCCAGAAACGGAAGGGAAAAAGCGAGACAACUAUGAAAACAUGUACGGACGGGGCACCGGCAAUAUUGAAAACUGCCUUAGCGAAGAGUACAGACGUGCUAAGGUAGCACGUGAAGGGACUGUCCUAGAGGAAGAAACGAAGAAACCUAAACGGAAAGGUGGUGGCAGGAGUAGAAAGCCAAGCACGUCCGCAGUUUCAUCAAACACAACUUAUAAUAUGGACCGUGUGAUGACGUACAUAAAGCUGCUUCACAAGGAGAUGGUAAUGGAAAGGUUGAACACGGAAGGUGUGUUGUACAAACCCAAUAAGAGGGACAACAAUGACGAAUUUGAUAAUGUAGGUGAAGGAGUUGGGAUGGAGAAUGGCCAGUACAAGUCAUCAAAAUAUUGGCCAGAUAUUGAAUCACCUACGAACGUAAAUCUAGGAACAUCUUUCACAGGUAUCAAUGAUACCUCCGUGCCCGUUGAUGACACGGGUGCUCCGGCGACGACACCGGGUAAAGGUGAAGCUACUGAUCCUUUCAUUAUAGACGAUAAUGGAAACUCUCCAUCUUCGGCAUCAACUGUACGUACAAAAGACUUUCCGUCUAUGUCCCGAACCCCGCAGAAUGCUGAUAUUUCUGGUGAGUCUAUGGAUGCUUUGUCACCAACAAAGUCCGAAGACACGUUUGAGAGUUUCCCGGUAGAGACCAACAUAGGUAAUGGUGAAGGCAGUCAGGAAAAUGAAGGUAAGCGCAAAAGAAAAAAGUCGAAAUAUUGUCAAUCCCCCUACGACCUUCUCAUUACCCGCAAAAAACGUGUUAAAAAAAAUAAAUCUGUUUGCAUCGUCACCACAUUCAAUUCUAGCAAGUUCUCUUAA